CAAACACGGCCAAUUUAGGCAUUCUUGGGUCCCACUUGAAUUGAUUUGGGCUACAACACGCGCAAGAGAUGGCCCACCGCCUUUCGCAACAAGAGUGUAUUGGUGGGCCAUAUCUUCCAUGGGUGGGCCCACCUGCAGCGCCACUGUUAAUACAGACGCUCUCUCUGAUUAGCAUCUAAUCUUUCCUGACUAGUUUUUAAUUUUAGUUAUUAGCUUU
rnacentral:lncRNA from 1 species